AUGUGGCUGGGCACUCGCCUUCGCCUGGUGCUGCGGUGCAGGGCAGGGACAGGACAAGCAGCAGCACCAGGACAUCUCCAAAUCCCUCCUUGGCCUCUGCAUCCCCCAGCCUUGCCCCAGAGCCACCCCACGUGUGGAUUUUGGGGACCGACAAGAUGUGCUCCCCACACCCCAGGCCCUGCAGCCCCUUUCCUUGUACUCACGGCUCCAGCACCGGCCCUGCUGGUAGCAGCGGACGAAGGCGUAGCCAAACAGCACCAGGAUCAGCAGGGCCAGCCCCAGGCCCAGGAUGAGCCCGAGCACACUGAUGGGCUCCUGCCCUGCAAACCAGAGGGAGAGGGGGCUCUGCAAACACCUGCGGGAGGCUGGGGGUUACGAGCAUCACCUGGGGAAAACGGGGCAGCCGUGGGGCUGUGCCAUCCAUCCCCGAGGCUCAGGGGCUCCCCGAGGCUCUCAAGCCUUGAACGCGGAGACACGGAGCAGCUGGCUUCCCCCAGAGCCCCGUGCGGUGACCUGCUCCUACCACCGCAUCCUCUGCUGCCCCGAGCUGGGAAGGGAGCCCAGGGGGGAGUGUGGGUGACCAGACAGGAUGGAGAGGCCGUAAGCAGGAGCCCACGCUCCCCGGCAGCACGUCUGCUCCUGUUCCGGCCCCGCCAGGACCUUGCCGAGCCCCCGAGCGCAUUUUGGCCCCAAAACCCUGCGUUAUGGGGCCGGCACCGUGGCGCAUCCCCACCCCGCUCCCACCCUCGCUGCUCUGGCGAGAAGCCCUUGUCCGGGGGGGCUCGGCCCCGCACUUCUCCCCUGGUUUUGGGCACAAGGGAGGCGCUGCCGGGGGGCGCAGGGCUGCUCCCCCCCAGCACCGUGCCGGUUCCCGGCCGCGCAGCUCCCCCCAGAGGACGCGGCUGUCCCCGCGGGCAGGGGGCCGCGAACAUCCCCGGGGGGAUGCUGCCCACCCCAGCUCCCCGGGGGGGUGUCCCGGCCCCUGCUCCCCCAAAUCCCUGCCCAAGUGCCCUCACGGAGCCUUCCUCGCUGUCCCAGCGGGCUCCGGAUGAGCGCGGUCCCACGGGCACCCCGGCAUCCCCACACCUCUGGGGGUCAGGAGGGGGGUUUGGGUUGGGAGAAACCUCAGAGCAUCGUGUUCCACCCCCUGCCAUGGGCAGGGACCCCUCCCAGCAGCCCAGGCUGCCCCCAGACCGCUCCAGAACAAUUCCAGGGAUGGGGCACCCACAGCUCCUCCGGGCAGCCUGUGCCAGCGCCUCCCCACCCGCAGAGUAA
rnacentral:lncRNA from 1 species